GAUGGAAGAACGUAGCGAAAUGCGAUACGUAAUGUGAAUUGCAGAAUUCAGUGAAUCAUCGAAUCUUUGAACGCACCUUGCGCCCUUUGGCCAUUCCGAAGGGCAUGCCUGUUUGAGUAUCAUGAACACCUCAACUCUUUAUGGUUUUCCAUGAUGAGCUUGGACUCUGGGGGUUUUGCUGGCUCACAGUCGGCUCCUCUAAAAUGAAUCAGCUUACCAGUGUUUGGUGGGUAUCAUGGGUGUGAUAACUAUCUACGCUUGUGGUUUUUCCACCAGGUAACCUUCAGCAGUGGAGGUUCGCUGGAGCUCAUAGAUGUCUCUCCUCAGUGAGGACAGCCCUUUGAAUGUUUGAUCUCAAAUCAGGUAGGACUACCCGCUGAACUUAAGCAUAUCAAUAAGCGGAGGA
rnacentral:misc_RNA from 1 species